UUUUGCGAAACCAGUCUGUGAUGGUCAUGUUGGUUGGAUUCUCUUUCCACUAUUUUAGUGCUUAGUGUGUUGACUCCUAUAAAAUGAUGCAACUUCCUGUGAAGCCUGUUUUCCUCGUGCUUGGAAUACUUCAGGAUAAAUCAAAACCAACUACUUAUACUUUGUGGGAAUGUAGGACUGCCAUCUGGAAGGCUGCAAUGAAGGCCAGACCAAGAGAUACCAGAUGUCUUAUACAGAUACUAAUCAGGUAAUGAUGCAGCAAAACGAAACCAACAAAAGAUGCAGCAAAACCCUUCCUUGAUCUCCAAGGUGUGAAGUAACGGCCACAUUGAGCCAGCAAACAAGUUGAAAGAAGAGCAUUGUCAAUAGUUAAAGAUUCCACAAGUUGCAGUUCAUAGAGAUGACAUUAUACAUACUGAGUACAUACUUUGGAACAGAGAUGACUAGAUAACAUAGCCUAGGAAAAAGUAUAUGUGUAAUUUUCUAAUAAUCAGAUUGACUUUGUUCAGAGAGAGAGUUAAUUACUAAGCUGGGGGGGAUUAGUUCAGGUUGGGGUAGUGCUGCAGCAGAGGCAAGUCUUAUUUAGAUUGUCUUUAAAUAGAUGUUUGAAGUUGCAGAGGUAAAAGGUAGAGCUAUAAAUAAACACUGCAACAAUACUAGCCAUAAAGUGAUGUUUAAUAUCCAGGUCUUACAAAUAUGCUAUAAAAACAAACAUGGAUAUAAUUAAUUUUUGUUAAGUUAUAGAUUUUAUUAAUGGAUUUUUCAGAAUGUUUACCAGCUAUUUUUUUUUUCUUUAGGCCUGUUAUCCCUGUUUUUUUAGCAACAUUGGAAAGAUUUGUUGUCCAGAAACAUUUACCAUGUGGGUGAAAGAGUGUUACUUGGAGGGAAGGGGACACAAUCUGGAAACUGGCGUACAAUUCCAAAUCUGCUUUCUGCAUAUGCAAGCUACUUUUUAUUUUGUGCAUAUUGUGUAACCAUAUUUCUUGCCAUCUGCUUUUCUUGAUGUGUUUAAAGUAAUAGAGUCAGUGCUUAGGCUAUAUGUAUGUAGCUGAGAGUGGGUGCAGUUUUAUAGGGAAAUGCAUGGCAUGUAAUAACCCAUUUGUUGUCUGUAUCAUUGAUAUGCUGUUAUUGCAAAUUUUCAUACAUAGUCACAGGGCAAAUA